rnacentral:misc_RNA from 1 species
AGACCAACUAAUCAGGCAACGGUUCUCUUAGAUGCUCUCCGUGACUUGGAGACUUGGGCGGAGUAGGAGUGACAGCAGGACUAUCAGGCAAAGCAUGGGAUGGGCCAGGAGAUUGUGAAGGCACAUGGCUGGGAACAACAGCUCGCUCGGACUCGGAAGUCAUCGGAGGAGAGAGCUACCUUGAACAGAUCCACCCCUGCAAUAAAAUUUGAUAUUUUUAACUUU